ensembl:lncRNA
ACCUCAGAGCCUCCUGCCUAUCCCUCUGUCUCUCGUCCUCCUCGGCAUCUCCAUGCCUCUUCUCCUCCUCGUGUUCGUCCGAAUCGCCCCUUUGUUCCUCGUCUUCCUCCUCUGAGGAAUCCCCAUUGCGUUUGUGAUGCUUCUUGUGGUGGUACCUGUGAGUUGGUUUCCAAAUCCUCUUUUCUCUCUCAUCCUCAUCUCUCAUCAUAUCCUCAUCUCUCUUCUCCUUUCCAUCACCCAGACUCCAGGACUCUUGGCUGCGUUCUUCAUCUGGCUCCUCUCUCCCUUCUUCUGAAAGCUCCUCAUCACGUUUGUGGUGUUUUUUGUGGUGGUAUCUGUGUGUGGGCUUCCAGAUUCUCUUCUCUCUAUCCUCUUCCUCCUCUUCCUCUGACUCUUCUGAUCUCUUCUCCUCUGAUUCCUCGUCCGAUGAGUCAGCAUCUCGUUUGUGGUGUUUCUUGUGGUGAUAUCUGUGUGUGGGUUUCCAAAUUCUCUUAUCUUUCUCCUCCUCCUCUUCCUCUGAAGGAUCUUCACUGCGUUUGUGGUGCUUCUUGUGGUGGUACCGAUGGGUGGGUUUCCAGAUCCUCUUUUUUCUUUCCUCAUCAUCCUCCUCUCUCUUUUCUUUCUCAUCACCCAGACUCCAGGACUCUUGACUGCGCUCUUCGUCUUCUUCAUCUCGUUUGUGGUGUUUCUUUGGGGUGUACCGAUAGGUAGGCCUAUAUCUCUUCUCCUUCUCAUCGCCCAGGCUCCAGGAUUCCUGACUACGUUCCUCUUCUGGCUCUUCUCUCUCUUCCUCUAAACCCUCUUCGUCUCGUUUGGGGUGUUUUUUGGGGUGUACCGAUAGGUAGGCCUAUAUCUCUUCUCCUUCUCAUCGCCCAGGCUCCAGGAUUCCUGACUACGUUCCUCUUCUGGCUCUUCUCUCUCUUCCUCUAAACCCUCUUCGUCUCGUUUGUGGUGUUUCUUUGGGGUGUACCGAUAGGUAGGCCUAUAUCUCUUCUCCUUCUCAUCGCCCAGGCUCCAGGAUUCCUGACUACGUUCUUCGUCUGGCUCUUCUCUCACUUCUUCAGAAACCUCCUCAUCACGUUUGUGAUUGGGUUUCUUAUGAUGAUACCUGUGCGUUGGUUUCCAAAUCCUUUUCUCCUUCUCGUAGUUGAGGUCCCAUGACUCCUGGCUGCGAUCUUCGUCCUCCGGUGUCUCCCUCUUCUCCUCCACAGACUUCAGGAGGGCCUCGAUGUCUUUCACAUCGGCCCCUGGUGCCUCAGGCUUAGGUUCAUGUUCUUUGCCCUCCUCUUCAUUAGUCAGCAGCUCAUCACUUGUCUUCUCCACAGGAGCAGCAUGUUGGGCACCUG